rnacentral:rRNA from 1 species
AUUGAACGCUGGCGGCAGGCCUAACACAUGCAAGUCGAGCGGUAGCACAGAGAGCUUGCUCUCGGGUGACGAGCGGCGGACGGGUGAGUAAUGUCUGGGAAACUGCCUGAUGGAGGGGGAUAACUACUGGAAACGGUAGCUAAUACCGCAUAAUGUCGCAAGACCAAAGUGGGGGACCUUCGGGCCUCAUGCCAUCAGAUGUGCCCAGAUGGGAUUAGCUGGUAGGUGGGGUAACGGCUCACCUAGGCGACGAUCCCUAGCUGGUCUGAGAGGAUGACCAGCCACACUGGAACUGAGACACGGUCCAGACUCCUACGGGAGGCAGCAGUGGGGAAUAUUGCACAAUGGGCGCAAGCCUGAUGCAGCCAUGCCGCGUGUGUGAAGAAGGCCUUCGGGUUGUAAAGCACUUUCAGCGGGGAGGAAGGCGGUGAGGUUAAUAACCUCAUCGAUUGACGUUACCCGCAGAAGAAGCACCGGCUAACUCCGUGCCAGCAGCCGCGGUAAUACGGAGGGUGCAAGCGUUAAUCGGAAUUACUGGGCGUAAAGCGCACGCAGGCGGUCUGUCAAGUCGGAUGUGAAAUCCCCGGGCUCAACCUGGGAACUGCAUUCGAAACUGGCAGGCUAGAGUCUUGUAGAGGGGGGGUAGAAUUCCAGGUGUAGCGGUGAAAUGCGUAGAGAUCUGGAGGAAUACCGGUGGCGAAGGCGGCCCCCUGGACAAAGACUGACGCUCAGGUGCGAAAGCGUGGGGAGCAAACAGGAUUAGAUACCCUAGUAGUCCACGCUGUAAACGAUGUCGAUUUGGAGGUUGUGCCCUUGAGGCGUGGCUUCCGGAGCUAACGCGUUAAAUCGACCGCCUGGGGAGUACGGCCGCAAGGUUAAAACUCAAAUGAAUUGACGGGGGCCCGCACAAGCGGUGGAGCAUGUGGUUUAAUUCGAUGCAACGCGAAGAACCUUACCUGGUCUUGACAUCCACAGAACUUAGCAGAGAUGCUUUGGUGCCUUCGGGAACUGUGAGACAGGUGCUGCAUGGCUGUCGUCAGCUCGUGUUGUGAAAUGUUGGGUUAAGUCCCGCAACGAGCGCAACCCUUAUCCUUUGUUGCCAGCGGUUAGGCCGGGAACUCAAAGGAGACUGCCAGUGAUAAACUGGAGGAAGGUGGGGAUGACGUCAAGUCACCAUGGCCCUUACGACCAGGGCUACACACGUGCUACAAUGGCAUAUACAAAGAGAAGCGACCUCGCGAGAGCAAGCGGACCUCAUAAAGUAUGUCGUAGUCCGGAUUGGAGUCUGCAACUCGACUCCAUGAAGUCGGAAUCGCUAGUAAUCGUAGAUCAGAAUGCUACGGUGAAUACGUUCCCGGGCCUUGUACACACCGCCCGUCACACCAUGGGAGUGGGUUGCAAAAGAAGUAGGUAGCUUAACCUUCGGGAGGGCGCUUACCACUUUGUGAUUCAUGACUGGGGUGA